rnacentral:lncRNA from 1 species
AGGGCUUAAUGCUACAAAGGACCAUCGGCUAACAAUUAGCACAAGCCAGCUAGUAGGGGUACUGAUUUGCUGGCGCGAGCUGACAGAUUUGGGACUAUAGUCGACAGUUUCCUCAGGAUCAUCGCCAUCGACGGAGCAAGUCGGCGUCUGCAAGCGUACGUACACUUUUGUGGGUCAAAACUAGUGGCCUAUUCAGUCUCUUUAUCUAUCCACUAGUAUUCAUUUAUUUACAAAAGACACAGGAAAAAUCAGUGGUCUUUGUCUUUCUUAGGCCUUGUUUAGUUUGUAAAAAUUUUACUUUUUGGCUAUUGUAGCACUUUCGUUUUUAUUUGACAAACAUUGUCCAAUCAUGGAGUAACUAGGCUCAGAAGAUUUAUCUCACAAAUUACAGGUAAACUAUGCAA